UACGAAGGGGGCUAGCGUUGCUCGGAAUCACUGGGCGUAAAGCGCACGUAGGCGGCUUCUAAGUCAGGGGUGAAAUCCUGGAGCUCAACUCCAGAACUGCCUUUGAUACUGGAGAGCUUGAGUCCGGAAGAGGUGAGUGGAACUCCGAGUGUAGAGGUGAAAUUCGUAGAUAUUCGCAAGAACACCAGUGGCGAAGGCGGACUCACUGGCCCGGUACUGACGCUGAGGUGCGAAAGCGUGGGGAGCAACAGG
rnacentral:rRNA from 1 species